rnacentral:lncRNA from 1 species
GCCCCAUCGCAGCCUACAAUCGACCGAUUUACUGCCCCGUGAUUCCUCCUCCACCUUCGACUUCAAUGAGGCAAGGAAGAAUCAAUGGCGAAUUCGCGAGGUAAGGCUUCGUUUUUCUCUUUUCUUUUAUUUUUAGAUGCAAGGAAUGAAAAAUAAAAUCAUAGGGAGCAGAUCGAGAGAGAUAAAACAUAAUAAACCCAAGAGAUUCAAAACAAGAAAUCACCUUGCUCUGUUUUUUUUUUUACUUUCUAUUGCUUCUGUAUGUCUCUAGAAGACUUUACAAUCGCAAAACGAAAGGCUUUAUAGCCGAGUGUUCCAAAAAAGAAUAAAAAUAAAUUACAAUUUUUUCUUUUUCUCUUUGUUUUCGUGUCGCUGCUGUUGUUUUGUCUGUUUCUUUGCAGGUACGGGGUGCGUUGGCAUCGUACGGAGGCUGUGCUGGAGCUUGGCGUGAGGCGUACGAGGGCGUGUGCGGCGGUCGUACGGCGCGAGGGCUAGGGCUCGUUUGCGGUUGCAGCGCAAAAGUGAGAAAGAAACCCUAAGGUUUCUUUUCUAAAAACAUUGGGCCUAUCGGGCUUGUAAUUUGGGUCGGUUUUUGAUAUUAGGCUGUAGGGUAUUAGUUAUGUAGUUGGGUUAUGUAAUUAGACAUUCAAGGACUAUUAAUUAUUUUGGUUUUUGUUUAUUUAUUUAUUUAUUUUGGGUUUCAAAAGGGCCGGACAAAUUGGCCUGUGUACAGCUGCCCCUCUUUGUUCAUUGUUGUGUAACGAGAAUAGAGCAAAGACUUCAAAGAAGGCCAAUUUUACCCGGUUUCACGGAAUCAUGACUUCUUUGGUGCUUCUUUUCUUUAGGUAGCUUUAAUAUGCUCCAAUGCAACUUCAGGGAGACAUGGUUCGCGUGUUUUUAUCCUGGCCUACUGCAACUUCCAAGAGAUAAGGAUUGUGACUUCGAUCUGCUCCACUGCAACUUCAGGAAGACAAGAUCUUGCAAUCUUCGGCCUGUUGCCCUACUAUUUAGGGGGUUAAGGCUUGUUCUCUUCGAUCUUCUCCACUGGAACUUCAGGGAGACAAGGUCUGCAAUCUUUAGCCUACUCCUCUACAACUUUAGGGAGAUAGGGUGUUGGCUUAAAUCUGCUUCACUGCAACUUCAAGAAGACAUGAUUCGCCAUCUUUGAUCUACUCUAUUGUAACUUCAGGGAAAUAAGAUUUAUAAUCUUCAGCCUACUCCACUACAACUUUAGGAAGCUAGGAUGGUGGUUUAAAUCUGCUUCACUGCAACUUUAGGAAGACACGAUUCGUCGUCGUCGAUCCCCUCUACUGCAACUUCAGGGAGACAAGAUCUGUAGAAUUCACCAAUGUCGCUACACUGUCUUCUAAGGACAUGAUUUAUUGAAUUGGUUUCCUGUAUCUAUGCUUAUGCCAUAUAAUUAGGAUGCCAUGAUCAAAAUGAGUCAGAUGCUCCUAACUAGGUGAAUGAUUAUGAAUGUAUAAAUGUGAUGAGAGUAAUUCCUUUUUAAACGCUUAAGGUAUCAUUGCUCAUAGUUCAUCAGGGUUCCAUCAUCGGUGCGCUAUUGCGUCUUCUUGCUUAGCCGUUAUCUUUGGCAGAGAAUUUGAAGAAGUUGCCAUAAUUUGGACUAUUCUUUUCCAAUAUUUCCAACUUUUGAACCUGGUUAGUCCUGACUAGUGGCCCUGUUUCAGGUCCUUGUACUAUUUAGAGACCUUACAGAGUAAUAUGCAUAACUUCUUUUAUGUGACUAUUAUAAGUCCAAAAAUCGUGAUUUCAACAAAAAUGCUCGAAAGAGAUUAUCAUAAUGGACAAGAUGGAAUUUUGUUGAGUAAAAACUCGAAGUGAAUACAUUAAACAGAAUAGCAAAUCUGCUAAGGCACAAAAUAAGAUGAGAAAAAAAGGUGCCCCAGAUAUCGCAGCACGAGCUUCACUAUUCUAAUUUCUCAAAGGCUCUUUCGAACCAAAUGUGUGUUCAGGAGAUCCCGCGUAUUUUGUUGUUGCUCCAAAAUGUACUGUUCUUCUAUCUUGUUAAUUUUUGGAGGACAAGACCACUACAUGCCCCAUAUUCAAGAUUUGAGAUGCCCGUUUUCGGGUUUUUAACUCAAAAACCCCUUUGGUCUUAAAGUGCCCUUUGCGGGUUUUCACAUUGGCCUCUCCAUUUUUUUUUGAAAGCGCCCUUUGCGGGUUUUCGCAUUGGCCUUUCUUUCUUUAGGUAAAAUACUUCUUGACAGAAUCUAAAUUUACGGGAUGGGGCAGGUAUUUACCAUCCAUCUCGGCUAGAAUCAAUGCUCCUCCGGAGAAAGCUUUCUUCACCACGUAAGGCCCCUCCCAAUUAGGCAUCCAUUUUCCUCAAAAAUCCCCUCUGUAUGGGAAGGAUCUUUUUUAAAAUCAAGUCUCCCUCGCGGAAUUCUCUAGGGCGAACCUUUUUGUCAUAUGCUCGCAUCAUUUGUUUUUGGUACAUCUGAACAUGACGGAUAGCUCUUAGCCUCUUUUCUUUAAUUAAGUUUAAUUGAUCAUAUCGAGACUGGAUCCAUUCUGCUUCAUCCAACUUUAGUUCUGACAAGAUUCAAAAGGACGGGAUCUCGACUUCAAUUGGCAAGAUCUCUUCCAUUCCAUAGACCAAAGAGAAAGGCGUUGCCCCAGUUGAGGUUCUGACUGAUGUUCGAUAAGCAAGAAGGGCGAAUGAUAACUUCUCAUGCCAAUCUUUGUAGGUCUCGGUCAUCUUCCCCACGAUAUUCUUAAUAUUUUAAUUUGCUGCUUCUACUGCCCCAUUCAUUUUUGGGCGAUAUGGUGACAAGUUGUGGUGUCUGAUCUUGAAUUGACUGCAGACUUCCGCUAUCAUACUAUUGUUUAGGUUUAAUGCAUUGCCAGAUAUGAUCCUUUUCGGUAUCCCAUAUCGACAUAUGAUCUCUUUUUUCAGAAAUUUGCUCACUGCCGACUUUGUAACAUUAGCAUACGAAGCGGCUUCUACCCAUUUGGUGAAGUAGUCAAUAACUACAAAGAUGAGCUGAUGCCCAUUGGAAGCCUUAGGCGAUAUCGGUCCAAUCACAUUCAUACCCCACAUAGAGAAAGGCCAUGGGGAAGUCAUGACAGGCAGCGGCGAAGGAGGCACAUAAAUUUUGUCUCCACAGAUUUGGCAUUUAUGACAUCUCUUAGCGUAAUUGACACAGUCUCUUUCCAUAGUGGACCAAGAAUACUCGAAUCUCAUAAUUUUCCUGGCCAUUGUAAAACCAUUAGCGUGUGUCCCACAGACGCCCUCAUGGACUUCUUCUAGGAUUUUCUUAGCCUCUACGGCAUCUACGCAUCUUAAUAGUACUUGAUCCUUUCUUCUUUUGUAUAGAAUCUCCCCAUCUAAGACAUAAUCGAUGGCCAAUCUUCUCAGCAUUCUUUUGUCAUUCUCGUUUGCCUAGUUCGGGUAUUCACGAUUCUUCACGUAUUGUAAUAUAUCGUGAUACCAAGGGUGAUCAUCUUUUUUUUCGUCUUCUUCAAUAUCAUAACAGUGGGCCGGAGUUUCAUAAAUGCUCAUCCGGAUGGGUUUGACAUUUUCUUAUUUGUUCACCUUGAUCAUGGAAGCUAAGGUGGCCAAAGCAUCGGCCAUCUGAUUUUCGUCUCGUGGAAGGUAACAGAAAGUAAUGUCAUCGAACUCUUUAAUCAAUUUAAGGACUAGUUUUCGAUAAUCAAUCAACUUGGGGUCUCUGAUCUCCCAUUCUCCUUUGAGUUGAUAAAUCACUAGCGCAGAAUUUCCAUACACCUCUAGCACUUUAAUCUUGUGUUCUAUAGCUGCACUAAUACCUAUGAUGCACGCUUCGUAUUCUGUCAUGUUGUUCGUACAAUCAAAAUCCAAUUUGCUAGUAAAUGGAUAAUGAUCUCUCUUUGGGGAUACCAAGACUGCCUCGAUUCCAUUACCCACAGCAUUUGACGCUCCAUCGAAGUUCAGUUUCCAAGGAAGUUCUUCCGGAUCACCUUCUUCAGUAAUAAUAACACACAUCAGGUCUUCAUUCGGGAAAUCAAAAUUCAAAGACUCGUAGUCUUCGAAAGCUCUACUAGCCGAAAAAUCUGCUAUUGCACUCCCUUUUACUGCUUUCUGGUUCACAUAGACUAUGUCGAAUUCGGAGAGCAGAAUUUGCCAUCGGGCCAUCCUUCCAUUCAAAGCUGUCGACUCUAUCAUGUACUUUAAAGGGUCUAGUUUUGAAAUUAGCCAAGUAGUGUGAUACAACAUAUACUGCCUCAACCUUUGGGUUGUCCAAACUAGGGCGCAACACAACCUUUCUAUUGGCGAGUACCUUGUCUCACAUUCAGUGAACUUUUUACUAAGAUAGUAAAUAGUUUUUUCUUUCCUUCCUGAAUUAUCAUGCUGACCCAAUACGCAUCCCAUGAAAUUCUCAAAUACUGCUAAAUACAAUAUCAAUGGCUUAUCGGGGCUAGGUGGCGUUAGCACCGGAGCGUUGGAUAAGUACUAUUUGACCUUGUCGAAAACCCUUUGGCAUUCUUCAUCCCAUUCACUUGGGUUGUGUUUCUUGAGGAGGCGAAAGACAGGGUCACAUUUCUCGGUUAGUUGAGAAAUGAACCGAGCAAUGUAAUUUAAUCUUUCUAGAAAGCCUCGAACCUUUUUCUGGGUACGCGGCGGGGAUAGCUCUUGUAUGGCUUUGACUUUGUCUGGAUCAAUCUCAAUCUCUUUCUUGCUAACAACGAAUCUGAGUAACUUUCCAGAUUUGGCUCCGAAGGUACAUUUGACGAGGUUGAGUUUUAGCUAGAACUUCCUUAACCUUAAGAACAACCUCCUCAGGACUUGUACGUGCUCCUUCUCGGUUCGGGACUUUACGAUCAUAUCAUCGACAUAAACUUCGAUUUCUUUGUGCAUCAUGUCAUGAAACAUGGUUACCAUAGCCCUUUGACAUGUUGCCCCCACGUUCUUCAGUCUAAACGGCAUUACCUUAUAGCAGAACGUGCCCCACAUGGUUACAAAUAUGGUCUUCUCCAUGUCUUCAGGAUGUAUCUUGAUCUGGUUAUAUCCGGAGUAACCGUCCAUGAAUGAAAACAGUGAGUGUCCUGCCGUGUUGUCCACUAGGGUGUCAAUAUGAGGUAGUGGGAAAUUAUCCUUCGGGCGGGCUUUGUUCAAAUCUCUGUAGUCCACACACAUUCGCACUUUUCCAUCUUUCUUAAGGAUAGGGACGAUGUUGGCUACCCAAUCUGAGUAUUUUACCACAUUCAGGAAUCCAGCGUCGAACUACUUUCGAACCUCUUCUUUUAUUUUUAGCAAGACGUCGGGCCUCAUUCUUCAGAGUCUUUGCUGAACUGGCUUACAUUCUUCCUUUAUGGGGAGUCGGUGUACCACGAUAUCAGUGUCCAACCCGGGUAUAUCUUGGUAUGACCAUGUGAAGACAUCUUUGAAUUCUUGAAGUAAUUCAAUAAGGUCUCGCUUCAUCCUCAUGGUGAUACAAGUUCCGAUUUUCACCUCUUGUCCUUCUCCUAAGCUCACGAUUUCUACUGAUUCCUUAUGAGGUAGGAUUUGUUUCUCGUCUUGUUCUACCAUUCUCAACAAAUCAGGAGAUAGGUUACCGUCUUGGUCAUCUUCAAAAUCCUGAGAAUCCUCCAUAUACACAUCUCGCUCAAAAGGAAAUUCUGAGUCACUGGCGGUGUCACUCAUAUCAUUGAUAUUUGGGGACCUGUUAUAAGGAUGAAGGCAGAUACAAAGAAUCAAAAGAAUUCAAAAACAUUUAUCUGUAUGGUAUGAUUAUGAAUGACGAAUGAAAGAAUAUUUAGAAUAAUAUUUAAAGAAUAAAAGAAUCCGAAAGUAAUCGUUUGUAUAGUAGGAUUAUGGAUGAAAUUGAAAGAAUGAGAGAACAUUUGCUCAAAAAUGAUAAUAACUGUGUAUUUCAUUGAAAUAACGUUUUUAAACAUCAACCUAUUUCACAAAAGAUUCUUAUUACUCCUAGGCCUAGAGCAAUAAGUGUGUUUUGGACAUUACUCUGAAUCAGUUCUAAAAACUAUAGGAAUCUCUUUUGCAGUCCAGUUAUCCAGAACACUUCCAGGUAUAUAGGGGCAAAUGCCCGACAAAUUUUCUCUUCCAGUCUCUUCGUCAUAUGUGGCGUUGAUGUCCAAGCUUUCCAACCUUUCUUCUAUGGCUCCCUCCACUGGCGUGCCUCUCUUGGGAUGGACGAUUCCUCCGGACACAAAGGUUUUCGAUAUAUUGGGGAAUAUCAUUGGCUCCCAUUUGAUUUCCUCCCCCAUUAACCGCGCUCUCCUUCUUUCUUACUUCUUGUCUAGCUCCCUUCUUCUUUGUUUCGCAUCUAGUUUAAAUCUUAAGCUGAAACGGUCUCUUUUGUCCUUCAAUAUUGGCGUUUUAACCCUUCCUUGGAUAUGUCUCCCAAGUUCUCUUCCGGGUAGAGCCCCUUUUCCAACCAUCAACUGUAAGCUCAUCUUCGUAGUUUUGAACAAUUUUGGCACCAGAAUCUUGCUUCCCUCGGCGAUGAACAUUGCAUUAACAAUUUUCAAAGAUCGAAAUGAGCAUUCGAUUGCUUUGUCAUCUGUCUCCAAAUAAGGCACAUUAUUGCUUAUAGUUGCAAUGAUAUCCUCUUCAGCAUUGAUCGUUAUCAACUGCCCCUCUGAUACCAGCUUCAACUUUUUCAUGCAACGAUGAAGGCACUGCCCCGGCUGAAUGUAUCCAGGGCCUUCCAAAUAAGUAAUUGUAUGAGGGCUUGAUAUCCAUUACUAAGAAAUCCACCUCAUACGUGUUUGGCCCGAUCUGAAGAGGUACCUCAAUUCUGCCCAUCACCCUUCUCUUCGUGCCAUCGAAUGCUUUCACUAUGUUCUGGCAGUCCAUCAUGUGAGAGCUGUCUAUAGGUAAUCUGUUAAGCGUGGUUAAUGGCAGAACAUUCAAGGCCGAUCCGUUGUCAAUGAGUACGCCUAACAGCGUAUAUCCCUUACAGCGCGUGGUGAUAUGGAAAGCUUUAGUCGACCCCAUGCCCCCGGGUGGUAUCUCGUCGUCAUUGAAGAAGAUAUAGUUGUCGGCGCUUAUGUUGCUAACCAAAUGGUCCAGUUUGUUAACGGAGAUAUCAUUGGCAACAUAUGUUUCAUUCAAGACCUUCAUCAGCGCGCUGCGAUAAACUUCCGAGCUUAGAAGUAAGACCAGCACCGAGAUACGAGCUAGUUGUUUACGUAGCUGUUCCACCACGCUGUACUCACUGUACUUCAGGAAUUUUAGAAACUCCUUAGCCUCCUCCUCGUUAACUGGCUCAUUGACAGGAAGUUUAGACUUGGUCACUUUUUCCUUCAUCUUUUCGACCACUAGGGCUUUUCCUUUUACGAGUUGUGCCUUUUCGCUUGUUGUAUCGUAACGUUUCCCACUACGUGUAUAAGAGCCCCCAUCUUGAUUCUUCUUUGAAGUGUCAACCAGGCUUUGCUUUCCUGGAAUCGUUACGUUGUAAUCAUAAUUCCAUGGGACCCUUUUGCUGUCUUUGUAGAGGAAGACUGCAGGUCUUUGGAUUAUAACCCUCGGUGGCAUUCGCACUCCAGCUUCAUUAUUUUUGGGUCGCGAUAUGAUGACCACGGGGUAGUUAACUGCUUGAUUCUGCACCGUCGAUUCUCCCUCUGAUGCGUAUAUAUCUCCCUCUCUGGGGUUUUUAGUUUCUUCAUAAAACUUAAUCUCUUUAUUGUUUAUUAAGUCUUGUAAUAGGGCCUUGAACUCUACACACUCUUGGAUUUCAUGCCCCACCUCAUUGUGGAACUCGAAUAGUUCCUCUCUUCUUUAGAUUCUUUCCUUGAAUCCAACGAGAUCAACCCUCUCUUGACCAUCUCCUCCCAUACCCGUCUCAAUGGGGUCCUGACUUCUGCAACCUCAUUUUGAUCCUCUUGUUCCUACCUUCGCUUAUCUCGUUCACUCAUUGGUCAGAAUGAUUGGGGAGUGGGUUUCCUGCUACAUUAGGUGUGGAUGGGUCGUCAAACCUCACGAUCCCUAUUUUAAUUAGUCUUUAGACUACUUUCUUGAAUGCUGUGCAGUUUUCGAUUGAGUGCCCAGUGAUUCCCGCGUGGUAUUCACAUUAGGCGUUUGUGUCAUACCAUUUGGGAUACGGGGGCUGUAGUGGCUUCAGGUAAAAAGGGGACACUACAUGAGUGUUGAACAGGUUCUGGUAUAGCUCCCUAUACGUCAUGGGUAUAGGGGUGAAUUGCGGCCUUUCUGUGCUCUCCAUCUUUGUGUGUAUUGUCUGAAACUUUCAUUUGACUUCUUCUCCAUGUUCUGGAGAGUGAUUCUGUCGGGGGUCAUGUCUGUCACAUGAUUGUAUUGUUUCAUAAAGGCCUGAGCCAGAUCCUUCCACGAGUUAAUUUUAGCGCGGCUUAAUUGGUUAUACCACUUAGAUGCCGCCCCAACCAGACUGUCUUAAAAACAGUGCAUUAAUAGCUGGUCAUUGUUAACGUAUCCCGCCAUUCGCCUACAGAAUAUAGUGAUGUGAGCUUCAGGGCAGCUCGUUCCAUUGCAUUUCUCGAAUUCGGGCAUUUUGAAUUUGGGGGGAAGGACCAAAUCUGGGACCAAACUCAGGUCCUUAGCAUCAACCCCUUGACGAUUGUCCGCGCUUUCCAUAGCUCUAAAUUUCUCAUCAAUGCAUCUACACCGUUCUUCCAAUUGUUUCUGCAAAUCUAUCUUCGCCUAUUCUUCUUCAGUAGCUUCGUCAAAAUCGGGAACGGGCGAAUAAUUUAGGUUAUUAAUGAGGUUAGAGCUUGAGCCGGGUUAGAAAUUUAUUGGUAUCGAAGCUCCGACCUGAAUCUGCUAAGGUAUGAUCGUAAUAGAUGGUUUUUAUAGAUUAAUCUCGGGCUGCAUCGGUGCCUAUGUCGGAGUGAAGCUAGGGGGUAUUGAGGAUCUUCAUUAGUUUCAUCAACGUUGUCCAUGGGGCCCUUUCCCUUAUCCGUUCUUCCCAAUAGCAAUUGGGAUAACUGACUCAUCAUUUCUCUCUGGGAUUCCAUCAUUUGCUCCUUCAUCUCUCACUGAAUCUUGGCUAGCUGCUUUGCAUCUAGGACUGCAUUCUUUCCUGCAUGUCCUUUUGCAUUUGCUCUAAUUUCUCAAGUCUUUUAUCCAUUGACUUUUUCCUUAUACCGUAGGGGUGUGUAGUUGGUUGGUUUUCGUUGGUUUCCAGGUUACUGAAAUGAUUUUUAAUUAAUUAAUUAGAAACCUCUUAUGACCUUUAAUGCAUAGUGAUAUGAUGUAAUGCAAAUGCAUGAAUACAAAGGAGGCAUCAAUUUUGAUUCAAUUCCCUUUAGAAAACUUCACUAGAAAAUAAAAUUAUUUUACAUAAAGUUGAGUUACAAAUAAAAUUUUGCUCUAACGCUUAAAGUCUUAAUUUUUCUAAGCAACGAGGCCAGCUCCUAUCCGCGAUCUGACUCCAACUCAUACUUCACGCUCAGUGUGUCUGCCUAUACCGCUAAAGCUUGCAAGUAGUCAGCUACCUCUCGAAUCUGGGUUAUGGCUUCCCCCAUAAGGUAAUCCCUGUUUCUGACUUGGUCUUGCGCAUGGUGAAGCUGCUCUUUCCAACGGUCCUCAUUCGCCUCAAAAAACUGAAUCCGCAUCUUACAGUUUUGCAGUGACACCUCUAACUCUUCUAUUUUUCCUUUCAUUUCUUCUAUCUUGCUCAAGCUUGCCCUCAAUUCCAUUGCAGUGUUGCGGUUUCGGUACUAAUGAAGAGACUUCUCAAGUUCUGCCACUCUAGCCUUUAAUUCGCUUCUUCAUUUCUGCCUUCUGACAGACUCUUCUCUAAAUCUUCAUUUCGCGCCUAAACUUCUCAGAAUUUCCUUUCCCAUCGGUUGGCUUUGGUUUUUUCUUCUCGAAUUCUAUGGCGCCAUUGUUCGAAAGUCUUACCUAACCCCGCAGUCAUCAUAGACAGGCGCAGCUUCUUAUAGUCAGUCUUUAAGCUGUCUAGAUCUUCUUCGGCCUUAGUUUUCCCUUUUCUCCACUUCUUAGCCUCUGACCUUUGGACAUUAGCGUCUAAUCUCAAGUGCAUCUUCUCUUCCUCCAAUUGUUCGAUCUUUUUUCCAAGCUCUGAACUCUUCUUUUCGAAGUUUUGCUUUAUAACUUCCAACUCUGACGGGGCGACUUGCAAUUGUUCCUCCAUAGGUCGAGUAUUUUCCAAGCUUGGCCUAGGAACGUUAUCAUUAACCCUUUUUCUAAACCAUCCGUCAUACUCGGACGUUACCAUGAAACCAACGACCAACCUCUUCAUCCAACAAGUUUGUUUCCAAGCAUCCGAUAGUUCCCGAACUUUCUUCUUAUAGUGAGCAACUUUAAAGGAGAAUUCACACUAAGCAAGUCCGUAGGUCGUAGGUACAAACUGCCUCGACUUAUAUUACCUCAAUGUAAGCAAUGAAGUAUACCCGCUAGCUCCCAAAAUCCUAACAAUGGCACCCAAUCAAAAUUACCACAUCGGUACAUGAUCUCAUCAGGCACCAUCCAAUAAGCUCUCCACUCUAUAUCCCCCUCCUUGAGGUUUUGGAGGAUUUCUAUCCACUUCUCCUCUGAGAUAUCUUCUCUCCUUUGUAUGGCUGUCUCUUCUUUUAACGGGGAAUAACCUUCGAAAAAGACCCAAUAAGAAACCUUGUCUACUUUCCAAAAGUGCCCAUGAAACCAUACCAUCAAUAAUUGUACGUACCCAAUAAACCGUCCCUCACCUGUCUUCUGACAUGAGCUCAAAGACCUGAACGUCUCAGCCAAUAUCGCUGGUACCGAUGUGAUUCCCUUCUUAAGGCGAUCGAAUAAGUCAAUGACUGCCUUGUCCACGUGCCUCAAAGCCUUAGGAAAAAUUACCAGUCCAUAGAUGCUUAAGGCGAAGAUAUAGACCCUCUUUCUUUCAUCUAGAUACGUCAAAAUCAAAUCUCGCAAAUUCUCCCAAGGGAUACAUUUACUAUCUCCUUUUUGUUGAAUCUGAGCAGUGACCCAAGGCUCACUCAUCCCUGAAAUGCUCAUCAAUUUCUUCAUAAAAGUCUGACCACUGAAAACCCGGGCAUAAGUCUUUCUGACCUGAAUUUUUGGACACCUAAGCAGAGUAGUGUAUUCGUCGAUUGCAGAUACCAAAUCCACUUCUCUAAAAGUGAAACAUUUGUAAGCAGAAUUCCAAAACUACACCAUAACUCGGAACAGAUGUUUAUCCACUCUAAUGUCUAGCAAGUAGGAUAUAUCACCAUAGCUUUGAUAAAACAACUGCUUGGUCCCUUCAUCCCAACUAGCCCAAAUAUCUCUCAACUCUUGCAGCUCAUUCUGUGCUACAUUGACGCGAGUGAAUUCCUACAACUCUGAUAUAUAUCCUUCUGCCAGGCUAUCCCCUUUUUCUGAUUCUAGCUUCUCUAACCAUGCACGAACGGCCGCAUUAUCCUUGACUUUACUAAGAAAUUCAUUCUCCAUGUCAAACUUUCUAACUUAGCAAUUGAAUACGAAUCAACACCUCCUUUAGUAUGCAAUGUCAUGCAAAAAAAAUCAAAACAAAACACAGGUUAGUAUCAAAUAAUGGCGAUAAAAUGCAAGUAUAUAAACGAUAAUUACAACGCAUAUACGGGUAAGUACUAAGGCUUGACGCGGCUCCACUCGAGGAUAGCUCCUAAGGUUCACUAUAUGUGAUUCGGUUCUAGAGAUAAGGUACCCGAACCAGCAGAUCCCUCAAUCCUCACCCAUUAUAGCCUCAUAUAGAUCGAAUUCGGUUCAGGGGGAUACAUUUUCCUAUAACCAUGCGGAGAUGAAAAUCACACGAAAUCAUAGGUACGGAUGUACCCCGGAAGCAAUCCACUAGCCCAUGCGGAAGUGAAAAGCUCACGAAAGCGUAGUUUCUUACUCCCACUUAGAAGCUGUGACCACAGCGGUCAUGCAAUGAAAUGCAGUAUUAUUCUACGAGAUUCGAACCAUAACAACCAUACAAACAAAUGCGAUCAUGAUUUUCAAAACAAGUUUUUGAUUUUUGACAAAAGGACAGCAAAUAAUCAAUUUUAUGGCUAGACUCUCUUAACCGGUCCCCAGUGGAGUCGCCAAACUAUCGAAACCAUCUUUUUAUUUAAAAUUUUAAGUUCAAUAAAAAAUGGAGAAUCGACUAUUUGAAAAUAAAAACAUGGAGUCGCCACCGAUCUUUUUGUUUUGGUGUGAUCGACUCACCUAAGAAUUUGGCUAUUAAAACAUUUCUGGUUUAUUAAAACAAUGAUUUUGGUCUAUGAACUUUUGAGAAAACAGGUUCGGGAGUCGAUUACGUAUGAGGAAGGAUUAGCACCCUCACUACGCUCAAAAUUGGUACCAAAUCGAUUAAAUACUGUCCUUACGUCUAAGAUUUAAAAAUGUUUUUGAAAUGUGGUUCCCUUUUGAUAAUAUUUGAAUAACCCGAGUUGGUUAUCAAAAUUAUCUUGCUUAAGAGGCAUAUAACACCACAUCUAGCACGAUAGGACACGAUCUUUCAUGCCCUCGAAAGCAUGACAAAUUUUGACUUCCAAAAAUUUAUACGUUGAAAACCGUAAAAGGAUGCCCAAUUAUUUAGUCCAACGAGAAGAUCGAAACCCAGCACAGUAGGGUACGACUCCUCGAAUUUCUAGAUAUCAGACAUUGCCUUAUUUUAGAAUUUAAAAAGUAUGAGUGAAAUUCUAAAGGAAUCUUCGAUCAUUUUGGACAAACAGAAAAUUGCAACCCAACACAUUAGGGUACGAUUACCCGAAUUGCCAAACUUCGAAUAUUACCUUCAUUUUGAAGAGUUUUUAGAAAACGUAAAUGAAAUUCUAAAGGGACAUUCGAUUAUUUUGAGCAAACGAGAAAUUGCAACCCAGCAUGUUAGGGCACAAUUCCGCGAAUUGUCAAAUAUCGAACAUCGCCCUCGUUUUAAAGGAUUUUUAGGAGACAUGAGUGAAAAUUUGAAGGAAUAUUCGAUUAUUUUGAGCAAACGAGAAAUUGCAACUCAGCACGUUAGGGCAAGAUUCCGCGAAUUGUCAAAUAUCGAACAUCACCUUCGUUUUAAAGAAUUUUUAAACGAAUAAUUAUAAAAAUAGCUUAAAACAUAUUAAUGCGACUCGAAAUAAAACGAAAUUAAUCAUAAAAAUUUAGAUUUUAUAAAACCACAUUUCAUAAACCAAGUGGAAAACGAUGAUAUGGGGUAAUAUGUAUAUGCAUAAAAUACGACAAUGGAAGAGUGGGGGGUAAUACAAUUUAUUUAACCAACUAACAAACACUUACAACUAAGUAUAACUAACUUGGAAAUAUAGCUCAAUUUCAAUCAUGCAUGGAGAAUAAUUAACAUGACAAUACAAAACAAUGAAUAAAUAAAUAAUGCAAUGGUAACAUGCAUGGCAUAAUGUAAUAUGACUACUACUAGAUACACAAAACAAAAUGCAAAUCAAAGAAGUAAUAUGGUAUAAAACUAUUUUAAAACAAUGAUAAAUAAACGAUGCACACUAUAUGAAUUGAUGGAUUGAUAAAUAAAACAUUUGUAAAGGCAAGCUUAAUAUACAUAUGCGAUCAUUAAAAUAUAUAUUGUAGAAUGAAUCUUUUUUUUAAAAUACAUAAUAUAUAAGUUGAUAAAUUUGCGUAGAAACUAAGAAUAUGUAAUCAUUGAAAGAAAUAUUAUAGAAUAAAACUUUGAAUCAAAUUGCAUGUAAAUAUUUUAAAUACAAACUCCUUUAAAGGUUUACAAAGUACAUGAUAAUUUGAAUAAUAUAUGUACAAAAGAAUAAUAAAAAUACAUGACAAGACAUAAUACCCAAAAUAGAUUUAUAAAAAAUGUACAUGUAAAUUUAUAAAAAGAAUGAGAUUAAUAAUAAUAAUAUAUAUAUAUAAAUUUUAAGUUAGUCUAAAAAUUAUACAUGCCUUCAUAUCAAAACAUUUAAAUAAUAGGCUAUAUAAAACACAAAGUAAGUUAAUACAAAGGAACAUCUAAAAAUAAUAAUUUUAUAAUUACAAAAAAAUGAGGUUUCUAAAAUUGUUUCACAUAUAUGUAUAAUUAUUAAACUAUAUGUUAUGGAAUAAAUAUUUUAAUCGAAUGACAUACAAAAUAUUGAAGAAUAUUAGCUUAAAAUUAACAAUUUUCAUAAAUAUUUUAAAUUAUGUACCAAAUAUGAAGAGAUUACAAAUAUAUAUAUAUAUAACUUUAGAAGUAAUUAUUUGUAAAAACAUGUAAGACAUACAAGAUUAAAUUAAUUUUAUUAUACAUUUCACAAUAGACUUAAGAACGUGCCUAUAGAUGUAAGAAAACUAUAGGCAUAAAAUGUAUCGACUUAGAAAUAUAUAUAUCAAAUAUGUGUACUAAUAUAAGUAAGUAUAAAAAUAAUUUAAACUUUAUGUAAAACAUAUAUACAAAACAUGUUAGAAUAACAAAAAUAUAUAUACCAAAAUACAUGGAUAGGGUCAAAAAUCAUUAUAUGCAUGAAAAUACGUUAACUUUGUUAUAAAAUAUGUAUAUGUAUAAUAAUAUAAAGGAGAUAAACAAUUAAAGUAUACAAAGUAUGAUAAUAAUAUUACAAAAACGAAUCUACAACAAUGAAGAAACAAUUAUCAAAAUUGCUUAAAAUGUACAAAUGAAUAAAUAAAGAAAAUAAAAAGGGCUAUAAAAUAAAAAGACUCAAUUAAAAUUAAACUAAAACACACGGGGUAAUUUGAAAAUAAAUCAAUAAUUAUAAAAGGACCUAUAGGUAACGCGCGCAGCUGUGUAGGGACUUAAACUGGAAAUAUUCUAGACCCCCAAAACGCAACACACAAGUGCGGACCAAAAUACAAAUACACGCAAAUUAUGGGUAAAAUUUAAAAAUAAAAAAAAUACGAAUAUUAACUGAUUUGAAAACGGGGCGAAAAGGAAAGGAUUUAUAUUGCAAAAAAACCCUCACCGCAAACACACGCGUGUCAUCGGGGCAGCAAACCGGAUCGGGUCGGGCGUGACUAGACGAUGUCGUUUUUGAGCCAUUGAAACGGGCUUGAAACGGCGUCGUAUUCGACCCUUUAAAAAGACCGAAAACUAAAUCAUUCGACCAAACAAACCCUAGCCUCCCCUUUUCUCCAACCGAACUAAGCCAAACCCCUUUGGCCAUGGCCCCAUCGCAACCUACAACCGACCGAUUUACUGCCCCGUGAUUCCUCCUCCACCUUCGACUUCAACGAGGCAAGGAAGAAUUAAUGGCGGAUUCACGAGGUAAGGCUUCAUUUUUCUCUUUUCUUUUAUUUUUAGAUGCAAAGAAUGAAAAAGAAAAUCAGAGGGAGCAGAUCAAGAGAGAAAAAACGUAAUAAACCCCAGAGAUUCAAAACAGGAAAUCACCUUGCUCUGUUUUUUUUUGCUUUCUAUUGCUUCUGUAUGCCUCCAGAAGACUUUACAAUCGCAAAACGAAAGGCUUUAUAGCCGAGUGUUCCAAAAAAGAAUAAAAAUAAAUUACAAUUUUUUCUUUUUCUCUUUGUUUUCGUGUUGCUGCUGUUGUUUUUUUGGUUUCUUCGCAGGUACGGGGUGCGUUGGAAUCUUACAGAGGCUGUGCUGGCGCUUGGCGUGAGGCGUACGAAGGCGUGCGUGGUGGUCGUACGACGCGAGGGCUGGGGCUCGUCUGCGGUUGCGGCGCAAAAGUGAGGAGGAAACCCUAAGGUUUCUUUUCUCAAAACAUUGGGCCUAUCGGGCUUGUAAUUUGGGUCGGUUUUUGAUAUUGGGCUGUAGGGUAUUAGUUAUGUAGUUGGGUUAUGUAAUUAGACAUCCAAGGACUAUUAAUUAUUUGGGUUUUUGUUUAUUUAUUUAGGGUUUCAGAGGGGCCAGGCAAAUUGGCCUGUUUACAUAUAUCUAAUUUAAUUAUUAAUUAAAAUUAACAUGAUUAUAAGUAAUGCCAACAUCUGUCCAUC